rnacentral:rRNA from 1 species
UACGUAGGGGGCGAGCGUUGUCCGGAGUUACUGGGCGUAAAGCGCACGCAGGCGGUCUGUUAAGUUUGGAGUGACAGUUGGUGGCUCAACCACCAAAGUGCUUUGAAACUGAUAGACUUGAGGGCUUCAGAGGGACACGGAAUUCCGGGUGGAGUGGUGAAAUGCGUAGAGAUCCGGAGGAACACCAAAGGCGAAGGCAGUGUCCUGGGGAGUACCUGACGCUCAGGUGCGAAAGCCAGGGGAGCGAACGGG